CCAUGGAGCUUUACUGUAGCUUGACAUUGGGUCUUGGUACUACAUGUACAGGAUAGGUGGGAGGCUUUGAAACCAGGACGCCAGUUUUGGCGGAGCCAUCCUUGGGAUACCACCCUUGUAGUACUGGGACUCUAACCAUAGGCCAUGAAUCUGGUCUUGGGACACUGUCAGGUGGGCAGUUUGACUGGGGCGGUCGCCUCCCAAAAGG
rnacentral:rRNA from 1 species